AUGAUAGCCAAAUCUAUUGAUGAUGCCAUGCAGCUUUCACAUAGCUAUGGGUUUCAGCAGAGGGAUUUUGGACAUACUGUUAUUCUUUUUGUUUUAAGCAUUAUCAGAAUAUUGACUGAUUGUAUUUUGGAAGAUUGGGGCACUCCAAGUAUCUCUAAUAAGGAACAUGACAAUAUUUGUGCCAUUGGAGUAAACACGCAUAGGGAUUUAGAUGGCAAGGGGAGUCCGCUUGACAUGAGAGAUAAGCACCGUGAACAACUAUGGAGGAAGAAUAAACUCAUGACUUUAGAAGUUGUUGAGCAGAUCACUGCUAACAAAAAUGCCCAAGGUAGACCUGAAAAUUUCAAAAGUUUGCUUCAGAGAGUUCAACUUACUGUUGCCCUUAAAUCAAAGAAUUUUGCAUCCGCAAAUACUCUGCUAGAUAACUUGAUGAUACAUAUACAGAAGGUUAGAAGCACAUGUUAUCAGUUAGGCAGGAGUAAGCUAUUGAGAGUUAUUGUUAGUACACGACCUUUCAGUUCAACAACAUGCAAUAUGUUUGGAGCUGGAAAGGGCUCUUGUUGGAUUCCUUUUGACUUGUUUAUGGAGAGUGCAAUGGAUGGUAGACAUCUUCGUGCCAUAUCAUCGAUCGAAGCUCUAACAGGUGGUUAA
rnacentral:rRNA from 1 species